rnacentral:rRNA from 1 species
GCAAGUCGUGGGGCAGCAUGAGUAGCAAUACUUGAUGGCGACCGGCAAACGGGUGAGGAACACGUACACAACCUUCCUUCAAGCGGGGAAUAGCCCAGAGAAAUUUGGAUUAAUACCCCAUAAUAUAUUUGAUAAGGCAUCUUAUUAAUAUUAAAGCUUCGGCACUUGAUGAUGGGUGUGCGGCUGAUUAGAUAGUUGGCGGGGUAACGGCCCACCAAGUCUACGAUCAGUAGCUGAUGUGAGAGCAUGAUCAGCCACACGGGCACUGAGACACGGGCCCGACUCCUACGGGAGGCAGCAGUAAGGAAUAUUGGACAAUGGACGAAAGUCUGAUCCAGCCAUGCCGCGUGAAGGAUUAAGGUCCUCUGGAUUGUAAACUUCUUUUAUAUGGGACGAAAAAAGGGCAUUCUUGUUCACUUGACGGUACCAUAUGAAUAAGCACGGGCUAACUCCGUG